rnacentral:rRNA from 1 species
GGGUAUAGUUCUUCGGAACUAGAGACCGGCGCACGGGUGCGUAACGCGUAUGCAAUCUACCUUUCACAGAGGGAUAGCCCAGAGAAAUUUGGAUUAAUACCUCAUAGUAUAAUGAGUUGGCAUCAACACAUUAUUAAAGUCACAACGGUGAAAGAUGAGCAUGCGUCCCAUUAGCUAGAUGGUAAGGUAACGGCUUACCAUGGCUACGAUGGGUAGGGGUCCUGAGAGGGAGAUCCCCCACACUGGUACUGAGACACGGACCAGACUCCUACGGGAGGCAGCAGUGAGGAAUAUUGGACAAUGGGCGCAAGCCUGAUCCAGCCAUGCCGCGUGCAGGAUGACGGUCCUAUGGAUUGUAAACUGCUUUUGUACAGGAAGAAACACUGGUUCGUGAACCAGCUUGACGGUACUGUAAGAAUAAGGAUCGGCUAACUCCGUGCCAGCAGCCGCGGUAAUACGGAGGACCCAAGCGUUAUCCGGAAUCAUUGGGUUUAAAGGGUCCGUAGGCGGUUUAGUAAGUCAGUGGUGAAAGCCCAUCGCUCAACGGUGGAACGGCCAUUGAUACUGCUAAACUUGAAUUAUUAGGAAGUAACUAGAAUAUGUAGUGUAGCGGUGAAAUGCUUAGAGAUUACAUGGAAUACCAAUUGCGAAGGCAGGUUACUACUAAUGGAUUGACGCUGAUGGACGAAAGCGUGGGUAGCGAACAGGAUUAGAUACCCUGGUAGUCCACGCCGUAAACGAUGGAUACUAGCUGUUG